CUGUAACCUUCCAGGAUGGAUCUGUGACUUUUGCUGACCUAGUGGAGAAGACCUCCCUGCAGAGUGGUAAAGAAAAAAAAAUAGUCAAGCAAGAACAAGUUCUGUGCAUUCGCCAGAAUGCAUCUUGAAUCCAACACUUGUCACAAGCUUUUCAUUUUCAAAGAUGCUCCAAGUCAUUAUUAAUCAGAGAAAUGCAAAUUAAGACAACUCUAAG
rnacentral:lncRNA from 1 species